rnacentral:rRNA from 1 species
UAGUAGAAUGGUUUUGGGAAAGCCAGCCAGAGAGGGUGAAAGCCCCGUACACGAAAGGCAAGCAAGCAUGGCAGGAUCCAGAGUACCACGAGACACGUGAAACCUUGUGGGAACGCGCGGGGACCACCCCGUAAGGCUAAAUACUCCUUAGUGACCGAUAGCGCAUAGUACUGUGAAGGAAAGGUGAAAAGGACCCCGGGAGGGGAGUGAAAGAGAACCUGAAACCAUAUGUUUACAAGCUGUGGAACAUCUUUAUAUGAUGAACCGCGUACUUUUUGUAGAACGGUCCGGCGAGUUACGCUGGCUGGCGAGGUUAAGCACUGAAGGUGUGGAGCCGA